GUCCGUUUUUCUAUAUAAACAAGUUACAAUGUGUCGCACUUCUAAAAAGGAAAAAAAUGAAGCUGUUUCUACGUUUGCUUCUCCUACUUCUGAUACUAGUUAUAGCCGAGGAUAAUAAAAUAAAUCGUAUUUUGUAUAUUAAGAAACGUGUCACCAGCUAAUAUGAAUUUUAUUAAAUAAAUAUUACCUAUUUGUUCAUG